GCUGACACAUCCCGGCCAAUCUCCGGCAGACCCUCCCUCCCAGACCCUCCUACUUCCUGGACAGCAUCCAUGUUGAAGGCAGCUUCAACAUGGAUGCUGUCCAGGAGGUGGGAGUGUCUGGGAGGGAGGGUCUGCCGGAGAUUGGCCGGGAUGUGGGAA